CGAACGGAACGAUAACUUCGGUUGUUGUUUAGUGGCGGAAGGGUUAGUAAUACAUAGAUAAUCUGCCUUCAACUUGGGAAUAACGGUUGGAAACGAUCGCUAAUACCGAAUGUGGCGGCUCCAGGCAUCUGGAGUUCGUUAAAGCGGGGGACCUUUGGGCCUCGUGGUUGAUGAAAAGUCUAUGGGAUAUCAGCUAGUUGGUGAGAGAAAAGCUCACCAAGGCUAAGACGUCUAGGCGGAUUGAGAGAUUGGCCGCCAACACUGGGACUGAGACACUGCCCAGACUUCUACGGAAGGCUGCAGUCGAGAAUCUUUCGCAAUGGGCGAAAGCCUGACGAAGCGACGCCGCGUGUGUGAUGUAGGCUUUAGGGUUGUAAAACACUUUCGCUUGGGGACAAGAAAGACCUGCUAAUAUCAGGUCAAUUUGAGGGUACCAGGUAAAGAAGCACCGGCUAACUCCGUGCCAGCAGUUGCGGCCAAUACGGAGGGUGCAAGCGUUAAUCGGAUUUAUUGGGCGUAAAGGGCGUGUAGGCGGAAAAAUAAGUUAGAUGUUAAUCUCGGGGCUCAACCCCGAACAGGCAUCUAAAACUGUAUUUCUAGAGGUCGGGAGGAGAAAAGGGAAUUCCACGUGUAGCGGUGAAAUGCGUAGAUAUGUGGAAGAACACCGGUGGCGAAGGCGCUUUUCUAUCUUGAUCCUGACGCUGAGGCGCGAAAGCAAGGGGAGCAAACAGGAUUAGAUGCCCUGGUAGUCCUUGCCGUAAACGAUGCAUACUUGGUGUGAGUGGACUCAACCCCACUCGUGCCGGAGCUAACGCGUUAAGUAUGCCGCCUGAGGAGUACACUCGCAAGGGUGAAACUCAAAAGAAUUGACGGGGGCCCGCACAAGCAGUGGAGCAUGUGGUUUAAUUCGAUGCAACGCGAAGAACCUUACCCAGAUUUGACAUGUACGUGACAGCGAUAGAGAUAUCGUCUUCCGAAAGGACAGGUACACAGGUGCUGCAUGGCUGUCGUCAGCUCGUACCGUGAGGUGUUGGGUUAAGUCCCGCAACGAGCGCAACCCUUAUCACUAGUUGCCAACACUUAGGGUGGGAACUCUAGUGAGACUGCCUGGGUUAACCAGGAGGAAGGUGAGGAUGACGUCAAGUCAGCAUGGCCCUUAUGUCUGGGGCGACACACGUGCUACAAUGGCCGAUACAGAAGGAAGCAAGACCGUAAGGUGGAGCAAAUCCCAAAAGUCGGCCUCAGUUCGGAUUGUAGUCUGCAACUCGGCUACAUGAAGUUGGAAUUGCUAGUAAUGGCG
rnacentral:rRNA from 1 species